rnacentral:rRNA from 1 species
GUCAUAUGCUUUUUUCAAGGGCUAAGCCAUGCACGUGUUGGAGUUAGCGAGCUUUUGCUGCCUAACCUUUCUGCGAAUGGCUCAUUAGGCCAGCUACAAUCUCUGCAGAGAUGGCCCCCUCUUUCUUCGGAAGGAGGAGUAGUCUUCGGACUUACCCUCACUUUGCGGUGGUGGUUCCUGAAGCUGGGUGAAGAAGGUUCGCCUCUUUCACUGCCGAAGUUCCUAGUGAAGGUGCCUCUCAUGGGCGAGACGCGGAUACCCUCUCUGAAACAGAAGGCUAAUACGUGUGGUGCAGGGAAGAUGCACCGUUCUGUGCAUUUGGCAGGGCCGUUCCUUCGACUGGCCGAAGAGACGGUAUGCACAGGGGUGAAACAAAGGGUGCCCGGCUCUUAUGGUGGAGAGCCCUUCUACCUUGGUUGUGGAACCAAGCCUUUCUGUGGAUGAGCAGGGGAUCAGGUGGAGUGUUUGAGUGGCAGGGGGGGUCAAGGCAAAGGUGGUUCGCCACUUUUUGUAUGUACUCACCCUACACAAAGGCAUUCUUCUCCCCAUGUAAAAACGCGGGAUGCGCUAGAGNGGGUUCCUGCGAAACCCUCUGCUUCUCUGCAAGAGUUUCUGCCCUAUCAGCCAUGGAAGUUGGUCUCGAGGACCAAGAUGGCGAUUACGGGUAACGCGGAAUUAGGGUUCGAUUCCGGAGAAGGAGCCUGAAAGACGGCUACUACAACUAAGGUUGGCAGCAGGCACGCAAAUUGCUCCAUAUCGACGUGUUUUGGUGAAGCAGCGAUGAGAAAUGCGACCAAUCACUGGUCCAUAGACCAGGGCUGGUGGAAUGAAUGAGGACCUAAGGAAUGCAGUGAGCAUCCACUUGAGGACCAGCCUGGUGCCAGCAGCCGCGGUAAUUCCAGCUCAAGUGGCCUACUUUGACGUUGUUGCUGUUAAAAAGCUCGUAGUUUGUUGGUAUCCGGGAUUGCACUGGGCGACGGAGUGUUGCAUUUCUCUUCGGAGGGUGCGUUUCUCGACAACCCCACGUGUGUCUCGCGGAGCCACCCUCUGGACUUCUCCCUCCAAAAGUCGACGGAACUUGCCACACCGAGGGGCUCUGGGGCUCAGGGUUCGUGAUCCCUCUUCGGAGGUUCAUGAUCCCCUGCUCUAUUCCCUGGGUUGGUAUUGUUUCGGGGGUGUGUUCGCACACUUUGCUGAGGAGAGAUGGGAAGGACUGGGGGGUUUCAACGGGAACGAUUCUUCGCCCGAGGUACUGCGAAGGAAUUCUAUAGCUUGGAGCCUCUUCAGGAUCUUCCUCCCUUCGGGGGGUGAAACCUCCUGGAAACUCCUGGCUUUGGUUCUCUCCUGUACUCACCCUUAUUCCGGCCUACAUCCUGAAACUGCCGGUUGGCCCCAGACACGCUUCACAGUCGGCGGGCGCGCUUCUCUCUCUCUUUCCCUUUGCUCUCGGGCUCUGGGGAGAAAGAGACGCGCCGUCAGCCUCGUGUCACUGAUAGGUUGGUGCCAAAUGAGGAGAUGCCCGUUGCAAGUUACCAUAACCAACGCAAGGCGCUCAAAGCGGUUGACUUCUUUGCGAUGGAACGUUCUGAGUGUGGCAUAACAAGGGACCGGUCCACUGGACCAGAGUUUCUGGCAUUCUUUGCUGGCCUAUCUUGGAGCAAGCUAUGAUCUCACGGGGGCUGCUUUCUCAGAGAAGGGCUCACUGAGAGUCGUUUGGUCUUCGGGACCAAAUGUCGCUCUCUCUUUCCCUGAGAAGGCGUAGAAUAGUCACUGUGGGAGUCAAAGCGAUGACGGAGGUCGUUUCGGUGCCCAGGGUACUGGUUGGCGAGCGGUGAAAUGCUUUGACCCAACUCAGGACCACCAAAGGCGAAAGCACUGGGCGGGACUCGAUCUGCCUGUCAAGAGCGAGUGUGCGGUGAUCGAAGAGGAUCAGAUACCCUUGUAGUCCGCGCUGUAAACGGUGCCUACCGGGGGUGGGGUUUUUGUUCCAUCGGAAUGUCGGCUUCUGUCCUUCCCCCUCAACGAGAAAUCCAAGUUUAUGGGUUCAGGGGGGAGUACGGUCGCAAGACUGAAACUUAAAGGAAUUGACGGAAUGGUACCACAAGGCGUGGAGUGUGCGGCUUAAUUUGACUCAACACGGGGAACGUUACCUGGAUAGCACGUGACAAGGACAUGACAGGUUGAAUCUCUCUCUGGAUAACUCGGAGAGUGGUGCAUGGCCGUUCCUGGUUGGUGAAGUGAUUUGUCUGGUUGAUUCCGAUAACGGGCGAGGUCUUCACCACCCAAUAGCCAGCCCUCUCGCUCGCAAGUAGGGAACCUGACCUUCGCGGACCCCCUGCUUUCGUGCUUCUCUCUUCGGAGGGAGUUGUGAAGGUGGGAAUCUGGUCUCGGAGUUCAGUCCUGAGAGUGGCGCGUUGUUGCUUCUCAGUGGGAUCGAGCACUUUGUUUAUGGACUAAGUGAUCAUAGCCGGAAGCCGACAGCAGGUCUGUGAUGCCUUCAGAUGCCCAGGGCUGCACGCGCACGACAAUGUCGUGGUCUAAUUGUGCACGCCCUUGGUGGCCAAGAGGAGCGAUGGGGUUUGGGUAGGUUUUUCGCCACUACUAGAGCCUCUCGUUCUUCUAGCCACCGCUAUUCCAGGAUUGUCCUAGUUUGACGUUGGAUUGGGAAACCGCACAACCCCAUCGUGAUAGGGAUCGGUGCUUGCCACUGUUUGCCUUCAACGUGGAAUGCCUAGUAAGUGCAGGUCAUCAGCUUGCGCUGAUUGCGUCCCUGCCAUUUGUACACACCGCCCGUCGUUGCUACCGAUGGUGUUGAGAUAGAGGCCCAAGGAGGUCAGUACCCAGGGAGACACCGCCAGUCUCAGGGUUCGUCCCUGGGUCGACAAGGACUCCCUGCUUGAACGCCGAAUUUGGCCAAUAUCUCAUUGCUGGAGGAAGCAAAAGUCGUAACAAGGUAGCUGUAGGUGA